rnacentral:rRNA from 1 species
CCUACGGGUGGCAGCAGUGAGGAAUAUUGGUCAAUGGGCGGGAGCCUGAACCAGCCAAGCCGCGUGAAGGAAGAAGGCGCCAGGCGUCGUACACUUCUUUUGUCGGGGAACAAAGGGCGCCACGCGUGGCGUUGUGAGUGUACCCGAAGAAAAAGCAUCGGCUAACUCCGUGCCAGCAGCCGCGGUAAUACGGAGGAUGCGAGCGUUGUCCGGAAUUACUGGGUGUAAAGGGAGCGUAGGCGGGACUGCAAGUUGGGUGUCAAAUCUACCGGCUCAACCGGUAGCCGCACUCAAAACUGCAGUUCUUGAGUGAAGUAGAGGCAGGCGGAAUUCCUAGUGUAGCGGUGAAAUGCGUAGAUAUUAGGAGGAACACCAGUGGCGAAGGCGGCCUGCUGGGCUUUUACUGACGCUGAGGCUCGAAAGUGUGGGGAGCAAACAGGAUUAGAUACCCGUGUAGUC